rnacentral:lncRNA from 1 species
GGUUGAACUCCGAGCCUUGUGCAUGCCGGGCAAGUGUGCUACCACUGAGCUACAUCCCAGCCGCAGUAAUGGACCUUCAGCCGCGUGAAGCAAUCAGCUGUGGACAAACAGACACUGAGGUGUGUCCUGUACUCUGCCUUCCAAAACACACCCUGGGCGUGUGCCCUGUGCCAGGAGACCCCACCGGUCUGGAAGACCCGAGAGCCGCUGCUCCACACUCGCCUACCUGCAGCGCCGGCCGCACUGAGCAGCUCUAACUCCCACGGGAGCGGAGUUGGAAGGACUCAGACUGUGAAGCCACUGCCACCUGCAGCCGGGCGGGGCCGGGGCUAAGGCUCUGGCUUCUCCUUCCCCGGCCCGGGCCAGACCUCCGGAGAUGGCGCGGACUCUCGGGGACCCGGGGUUUGAUGCUGGCUGGCAAGCUGGCGAGCUCGUGAGCUGGCUGGGUGAUAACUGGGCCACACCGUCUUAGGUAGAGCCUGAAGCUGCCACCCUGGGGAAGGUGCUCGCCCCUCCUGGGCCUCCGGGGUCUUGGUGUGCAGCGU